rnacentral:rRNA from 1 species
UACGUAGGGUGCAAGCGUUAUUCGGAAUUACUGGGCGUAAAGGGCUCGUAGGCGGCCAACUAAGUCAGACGUGAAAACCCUGGGCUCAACCCAGGAACUGCGUCCGAUACUGGAAGGCUUGAAUCCGGGAGAGGUGAGUGGAAUUCCUAGUGUAGAGGUGAAAUUCGUAGAUAUUAGGAAGAACACCAGUGGCGAAGGCGGCUCACUGGCCCGGUACUGACGCUGAGGCGCGAAAGCGUGGGGAGCAAACAGG